rnacentral:rRNA from 1 species
UAUGUGACGAUAAUGACGGUAGCAUAUGAAUAAGGAUCGGCUAACUCCGUGCCAGCAGCCGCGGUCAUACGGAGGAUCCAAGCGUUAUCCGGAAUUACUGGGCGUAAAGAGUUGCGUAGGUGGCAUAGUAAGCGGGUAGUGAAAGCGUUCGGCUCAACCGAAUAAACAUUACUUGAACUGCUAAGCUCGAGGAUGAGAGAGGUUAUUGGAAUUCCCAGUGUAGGAGUGAAAUCCGUAGAUAUUGG